AUGGGUGUCGUCCUGUUGGGCCGGAUGGGCUGCUUGUGUUCGUGUGGACACGAACGAAAGAGAAGGAAAGAGCGCACCUCACACGAGUCGUCAGAUCGCCAACGGACGGCGCAACGCGUACUACUUCCCUCGGCAGUAGAUCGAUCUAAGUCAGAGGAUCUCGUUCCCUUCGCAGGCCGCCGCAACCAACAGCGGAAGGCAUUCUUCCACUCUCCCCUGAAUCAUCAAAAAGAAAAGAAACGAGACCUUCCUCUCGAGACGAACCCUAGAUCCGAACUGACCUUCCGUCAGCUUCCUGUUCCGUGCGACAUGGAAGCUCGUCGGCGUCUUCAUCCGCCACCCGGUGCGGAGCUCUCCCGCCCUCACCCUCGCUGGGUGAUGCUAGAUCGCUUCGUCCACUACAAGGCGUACGCUGGUGAGGCUGUUGCGGAGGAGGUAAUGGACGGCACGCAAUCGGCGAUCUCCUCCACCUGCACCAACAUAAGCAUCGCCGUCUCUCUCAGGGUUGCUGAACCGCCCGCUGUGUCCCGUCUCUACCUCCACUGGCCCGAGUGA
rnacentral:rRNA from 1 species